GCCGCCCUAGCUCAGUUGGUAGAGCGCACCCUUGGUAAGGGUGAGGUCGUGGGUUCAAGUCCCAUGGGUGGCU
rnacentral:tRNA from 1 species